GACGAACGCUGGCGGCGUGCUUAAUACAUGCAAGUCGAGCGGACAGGCCCUGCUCUUGUGGGGUGCUCGAGUGGCGAACGGGUGAGUAACACGCGAGUAUCCCGCCCUUGACUUUGGGAUAACUUUAGGAAAAUGGGGCGAAUAUAGGAUAGGAGCUCUUGAUGCAUGGUGGGGGUUGGAAAGAUUCGGCGUUUGGGGAUGGACUUGGGCCGUAUCAGCUUGUUGGUGGGGUAGUGGCUUACCAAGGCUUCGACGGGUAGACUACCUGAGAGGGGGAUAGGCCACACUGGAACGGAGCCAGGGUCCAGACGACUAAGGGAGGCAGCAGUCGGCAACCGGACGCAAUGGGCGAAAGUAUGACGGAGCAAGGCCGCGCGAGAGAUGACGGUCUUCGGAUCGUAAAACUCUCCUACUAGGGAAGAACCGCUGUGGAAUUAAAUGUGCAGGUAGUGACGGUACCGAGUCAGAAAGCCACGGCUAACUACGUG
rnacentral:rRNA from 1 species